rnacentral:rRNA from 1 species
UCCCAGCACCCCGAGUGGUCGGGACGUUUAUUGGGCCUAAAGCCUCCGUAGCCGGUUCUACAAGUCUUCCGUUAAAUCCAUCUGCUUAACAGAUGGGCUGCGGAAGAUACUAUAGAGCUAGGAGGCGGGAGAGGCAAGCGGUACUCGAUGGGUAGGGGUAAAAUCCGUUGAUCCAUUGAAGACCACCAGUGGCGAAGGCGGCUUGCCAGAACGCGCUCGACGGUGAGGGAUGAAAGCUGGGGGAGCAAACCGG